UGUUGUGGCGCCAGCCGCAGUGCAGGGUAGCUAUGUACGGUCGGGAUAACCGCUGAAGGCAUCUAAGCGGGAAACCCACCUGAAAACGAGUUCUCCCUAUCAGAGCCGUGGUAGACCACCACGUUGAUAGGCCGGGUGUGGACGUGCGGCAACGCAUGAAGCUUACCGGUACUAAUCGCUCGAUCGGCUUGAUCAUUCUCAUU
rnacentral:rRNA from 1 species